GGGAUAAGCCCAGCACCGAAUCCCGCGGCCGUCUAGGUCGCCGGGAAAUGUGGUGUUAGGGAGGGUCCGUCAUCCCGAUGUCGUGCGGUGCGUCCAAGUCCUUCUUGAACGGGGCCAUUUACCCAUAGAGGGUGCCAGGCCCGUAGCGAUCGCCGCCGACAGCGGGAGGAUCUCUCCUCAGAGUCGGGUUGCUUGAGAGUGCAGCCCUAAGUGGGUGGUAAACUCCAUCUAAGGCUAAAUAUAACCACGAGACCGAUAGCGAACAAGUACCGUGAGGGAAAGUUGAAAAGAACUUUGAAGAGAGAGUUCAAUAGUACGUGAAACCGUUCAGGGGUAAACCUGAGAAACCCGAAAGGUCGAAUGGGGAGAUUCAGCGCGUCUCGUUGUGCUGCGAGUUGUGAGCGUUGAUGACGGUCUGCGUACGCGUAGGCUGCGCCGUUCUCAUCCGCAUACGGCCGGCGAACGCGUGCACUUCUCCCCUAGUAGGACGUCGCGACCCGUUGGGUGCAGGUCUAAGGAUCGAGGUCGAGUCCGAGUGGCGCCGUUACCGGUGUCCGUUCGGAGCCUCGUCUCCCGGCCUGCUCGCUCGACGGUACGACAGUGGCGCGGGGCCGCGAUUUUCGCGUCCGGCCCGUCGCAAGUGCGAUCGGUUAUCUGGCUGUCGGACCUAGUGCCGACACCGGACCCGUUCGACUGCUGGCGGCGGUGUCCUUGGACAGACUCCGUAUACGCCGAUCGGCGACGCUUUAGCUUUGGGUACUUUCAGGACCCGUCUUGAAACACGGACCAAGGAGUCUAGCAUGUGCGCGAGUCAUUGGGACUUAGCGAAACCUAAAGGCGAAAUGAAAGUAAAGGCCGCCUUGCGCGUGCCUAGGGAGGAUGCGCCGGGCCAUAUUCUGGCGCCGCACUCCCGGGGCGUCUCGUGCUCAUUGCGAGUUGAGGCGCACCCAGAGCGUACACGCUGGGACCCGAAAGA
rnacentral:rRNA from 1 species